UACGUGGGGGGCAAGCGUUGUUCGGAAUUACUGGGCGUAAAGGGCUCGUAGGUGGCCAACUAAGUCAGACGUGAAAUCCCUCAGCUUAACUGGGGAACUGCGUCUGAUACUGGAUGGCUUGAGUUUGGGAGAGGGAUGCGGAAUUCCAGGUGUAGCGGUGAAAUGCGUAGAUAUCUGGAGGAACACCGGUGGCGAAGGCGGGUCUCUGGGCCGAUACUGACGCUGAGGAGCGAAAGCGUGGGGAGCGAACAGG
rnacentral:rRNA from 1 species